ACUCCAAAAAAAGGAGUACAAAGGAUUAAAGUUAAACCAGCUGCAACAGUAUACAACUUUGUUACGUCAGAAGAAGAGGAAGAAGAGCCUGAAGGAGUUGAAAAUGACCAGCCACAGGAAGGAGCAAGAGAGUCAGAAGUUGAAGACAAUACCAACACGAUUGGUAUUGUUGAAAGUGCUACACA